AUCCAUAUGACGAGUCCUAAAUAAGACAAAACCCGCGUCAUUGAU
rfam:Schistosoma mansoni strain Puerto Rico chromosome 4, complete genome